CACUCAGAGGACACGAUCAGUUAACCUUCUAGUAGAAUGAACAAGAGAAUUCUCUUAGUCUAUUUGUGCUGCUAUAACAAAAUAAGUUAGACUAGGUGGCUUAUCAACAACAUACAUUCAUUUCUUACAGUUCUGGAGACUGAAGAGUCCACAAUCAAGGUGCCAGCAGAUUUAGUGUCUGUGGACAGGCAACCUACGAAUUGGGUAUAUUUAAUGAGAACAAACCAAAGAGAAAAAAGAAAAGAAAAAGGAGAACAAUGGAACAGAAAGCAAAUGACUGAUUAAUAUUGAAAAGUCAUCUCCUAUGCAAAUGAACAGACUGUGACCCAGAAGGUGAAGUAAUCUGUCCAAGGCAACCCACUGAAUCAGUGAAAGAAUCACAGUAGAAGCUGUGUCUCCAGAGACCUAGUUCAAUGCCUUCCACACCCAUGUGCUGGGCUGGCUUCCUUGAUUCAAUUACACACCAUUUUUAGAUAGGACAUGUUAACUUGGAUGAGAGCGA